rnacentral:misc_RNA from 1 species
AGCAGCCGCGGUAAUUCCAGCUCCAAUAGCGUAUAUUAAGUUGUUGCAGUUAAAAAGCUCGUAGUUGAAUUUUGGAUUCUGCCAAUUGGUCCAUCUUUUAGAUGAGUACUGGUUGUGUGGGGUCUAUCCGCCUGGUGAUACGUAAUGUCCUUUAUUGGAUGUUGCGGGUAGUCAGGACCUUUACCUUGAAAAAAUUAGAGUGUUUAAAGCAGGCUUAUGCCGGAAUACAUUAGCAUGGAAUAAUAGAAUAGGACGAAGUUGUUUUAUUUUGUUGGUUUCUAGGACAACCGUAAUGAUUAAUAGGGAUAGUUGGGGGCAUUAGUAUUCAAUUGUCAGAGGUGAAAUUCUUGGAUUUAUUGAAGACUAACUACUGCGAAAGCAUUUGCCAAGGAUGUUUUCAUUAAUCAAGAACGAAAGUUAGGGGAUCGAAGACGAUCAGAUACCGUCGUAGUCUUAACCAUAAACUAUGCCGACUAGGGAUCGGGCGAUGUUGUUUCCAUGACUCGCUCGGCACCUUAUG